rnacentral:tRNA from 1 species
GACUUCAUAGCUCAGUUGGUUAGAGCAUCGCACCGUUUUCAUGAGGUCACAGGUUUAAACCUGUUAAAGUCC